UUUUUUUGUUUGUGUUUUUUGAAAAGAGAGAGAGAAAACAAGUGAGAAAGAAAGUUUUCACAUUCGUUUUU
rnacentral:ribozyme from 1 species